GAUGAACGCUGGCGGCGUGCCUAAUACAUGCAAGUAGAACGCUGAAGGAGGAUCUUGCUCUUCUGGAUUAGUUGCGAACGGGUGAGUAACGCGUAGGUAACCUGCCUGGUAGCGGGGGAUAACUAUUGGAAACGAUAGCUAAUACCGCAUGACAACAGUUAUUGCAUGAUAACUGUUUAAAAGGGGCAACUGCUCCACUACCAGAUGGACCUGCGUUGUAUUAGCUAGUUGGUGAGGUAACGGCUCACCAAGGCGACGAUACAUAGCCGACCUGAGAGGCGGCUAGGCCAAGCUGGGACUGGGACACGGCCCAGCACCCUACGGGAGGCAGACGUAGGGAACUUUCGGCAAUGGCCGGAAGUCUGACCGUGCAACGCCGCGUGAGUGACGAAGGUUUUCGGAUCGUAAAGCUCUGUUGGAAGAGAAGAACGAGUGUGAGAGUGGCAAGUUCACACUGUGACGGUAUCUUAACAGAAAGGUCCGGCUAACUCCGUG
rnacentral:rRNA from 1 species